ensembl:lncRNA
AAGAAGAAGAAGAAAGAAGGAAAACAAAAAGAAAAGAAACCUCGAUUUCUUUUUCUCUGCUUCCCCCGCUCCCCCUCCCCUCGAUGUGGCCUCUUGUUUGGCUCGUGGCGUGACCGUGAUGAAGAAAUGUUUCUGUGCGCCUGGCAGGGUGCUCCUUUUAUGUCAUGAGUCAGGAUUUGGCCAACGGAAGGAGCCCGCGCAGCGAGGACUGCGGGCCGCUGCUCUCCGGACCGGGAAGCUGCCAGGGGAUCCCCGCUCCGCCCCGGGGCGCCGCCGGGCACCGGCACGCGAGCUCUCCUCAUCCCUUAAAGAAGUUGUGGAGGAACGCAGUGCUGAGGGCUGUGCGAUGCAGAUACCCAGCGGAGCGCUCGACCUGCCGCUGUCAGCAGGGAACGGCCGCGCUCGGGUCGCGUGAAGCCCCUUGUGGAGGGCCGCAGCUGUAACCCAGCAGGAGUCAGGGCAGACACCUCCUGCAACGGUUCUGCUUUAGCCUGCGAUACAGAAGAACAGACACACAAGCUGAUCCUUUGGAAAGAUAAGAAUAGAUACUUUGGAUGCUGGGUCUGGUAAAUCUGCUGCUCUGGGUGGGUUCAAUGUGACUUUAUGGGCGCUUACAGAAGGUGCUGCUUAACUAAACAAACCAAUCCUGACGUAAACUGUGGCUGUCCUGGCAGCAUCCCAUCCUUCUUUCACCAAGGGGGGCAAAAGGAGUGUCCAGGAUGCAUCUCUAAAGGUCUGCUUCCACUUCUCACCAAGGCAUGGUGCACUGCUGAAACUGAAGGAAAAUUUUUAAAGAUUUAGCCUGUAAUUUCUGAAACUGUUUAAAGUAACGUUGUAUGGAAACUGACUUUCUUAAUGCAAUUUGUCUACUUUUUCUCCAAACAUCACAGAAGAGAAUUAAAAUUUAAAUGCACUGAUAUGUUUUACAGAAGAUCAAACAUUACUGUUAUUUGAGUAGUUUCUAGGAGCAGUGAUGGAAACUGCUUUAUGUACUGCAAUGAUUUAUACUUUUUUGUUGUACAAUUUGUUUAAUUCCCACUGCAACUCAACAGGAUUACAAAGGCAUGUAUGAAUAAACAUGAAUUUGAGAUGUUGCAACUGAGUGCAGGAACAUAACGAUGGUAAUUUUUCCCUGAAGAAAUCAGAUCAGAAGCUUUAAAUGUACAUUUUCCUCAACAGAACAGUUGGAUGUUAUCAAAAUUACUACUGUGCCUACAUGUGUCCCUUGCAGCAUCAUUCCCUCAUCACUGAUUUGCCAGCACAGCACUACCCAGAAAGGAGUUUGCUGUUACCUGCCUAUGCAGUCCCCACAAAAGCUGCUGCUGAAAAUUCUCUCCGUACCUAUCAGAUGUUUCUGCACUGUGAAUGCUAAGGAAAUGCUAAGUAAUUUGACUGCAUGAUUUUUAAAGAAACCAACAGAAAAAUCAGAUUUACACAAUGAUUACAGUUCUGCUUGCUAAUAUUGAUCCUCCCUUUAAGGGAAAUUAAUGCAAAACAAGACUGGAGUUAUAAUGCACCAAUAAUGUUUUGCUUGUCUCAAAAAGUAAUGAUAGCUAGUGCUUUUGUAUCUUCUAUUUCCUUAUGAUCUAUUAAAUAUAAGUAGUUAAAACCCUAAAAUAAGAAUAAAGAGAGAUGACAGAGGUGGCAAGGCACCUAGAUGUGGAUCUAAAUAUAACCAAGGUUGUUUAUAUCAGUGAGCUCUGCCAAAGGAUAUGCGUUUAUGCAACUUUCUUGGUCGGGGAGUCAGUUUGCAAUGCUCCCAUGUGUUGUAUCCUUUAUUGCUCAUAUUUCAAAGGUAAUUUUUGCAAGAUUCUAAACAAAUAAAUAAAAAGCUAAAUUAUUAUCUCAGUUGUAGAAAUGGAGAAACUAUAAUAUUGAAGUUGACUGACUCUGUCAAGUAAAUGUUUAUUAUUAGAAAUAGGAUUCGAUUUCAUGUCAUCACUCCAAAUCUCACACUUCUUGCACUGGUGACCUACCAUAAAGAAAUACACGUUAAUGCAAUCAUUUUGAAGAGAUCGAUACCCAGGGAGGAGCUGUUUCCUGAAUUACCAGGUGAACGACUAAACAUUUCCUAAGGAUCACCCAAGACACUGAAGACAAAAUAUCUAUCGUUUUUUGUUACAGUUCAUAUUUCUGCUGCUUCUCAGACACGCUGUGAUUCAUCUCUGAGGAACACUUCACAUACUGUAGUUUAUUUUUCUAUCACGACACUCACAAUUUGCCAAAACUGCCAUUUCCCUUAUGCUGUUUGAGCAUUGCUAGCUCUGCAAUCAAAUGUAUACUGUCUGUUUCCAUCCCUGCUCUCUGUCUCAAUUAUUAUUUUUGUGAAGAUAAGAAAAUCCCAUUUUUACCAGUGGAGAGCCAGGCUGCUUAGGUCACAAGAUUCUCUUGGCUUAAUCCUUGAGUAUGAAUCACGAACUUUCCCUAAGAAGUACUGGCAUUCUUCAGAUGAUCAAGCCAGCUUACUAAGGCUUCCAGAGCUUUCCGCAUUAGCGAUCACCAUGUUUAAAGUAUCAAAAGCAGUAGCUGAUUAAGAAUUAAACUGUUUAUUCUUACUUUUCCCAUUUCCUCUGUUUCUAACUCUUAUGUGGCUUGGUACUGUAAACAGCUGUAAUGCAACUCAGUUAAAAGAAGUAAUAUGAAAAUAUGAAAGCUAUGAUGAAAGAGAUAUAUCAGACAAAAAUAUUUGUGUGAAAUACAAGAAACAGAGUUACAUUUUCUGCAGUACAUGGCUCAAAAAUAAUCUGCAUAUGUACACAUGGCUCCAGUUAACAAAAAGCAUUUUUCUCACAUUUAAUAUCAGAAAUGUUGGAGGUAGCCAAACAUCUAUUCUGCAGAUGAUUUACAACCCUUGCAGAAAAAAAAAACGUGCACUAUUGAGACAUCAUAGUAAAUGUCAUAUAAUUCAAUAAGCGUUAUGUGAAGAAAUAGAUAAAAUGAAGAUACACCCAAAAAAUAUUUCUUGAGAUAUGAAGGUGGAAACAGAAUAUUCAUUCCAGAUGCAGAACACAGAAAAUUGCUGAGAUAGGACUGGACUCUAGUAAGCAUGUAGCCCUGGAAACAUGAGGGUCCUGGGCAAUUCAGGACAGGUGUUACAUUCCUGCACCACAUUCAAGUAUGAGAUCUGACAAAAGUAGACUGUUCACUUUGGCUACCAAUGAGAUUUUUCUAACUUUUACCAGGAAUAGUACUUCUUCAUAAAUGUGGAGUAAACUAUUUGAACAACAAUUCUUUCUUGUAUUAUUUCCAGAUUUGGUGAAAAACAUUAUAACAACUAAUGAAUACAUUAUACAGUCAUGCAAACUUCAAACUGAGUUUUUGUGCUAUUGCUGUGACAAGCAUUAAGAAAAGUUUAGUUUUCCAGAAGCCAUACUAGCCAGCUGUUAACUCUUGUCCUUUUCCUCAAUGACUCUGACUAUUUUUUGCCUUGUUCUUAGGGAAGUGCAUGGAUGUGGAAAAUGCCUGUUUAACAAUUCAGAUUAAAAAAGCAACCAAAUGCUAACACUUUGCGUUCACAAGACACAGCAGAAUGUCUUAGCCUAAUAAGCAUUGCCCUUAAGUUCGAUUUGCCAACUUCAAAAUAUGAAUUUAAGUAUUUCAUUUCAGCAGGAGGGCAAAAUUAAAUUCUAAGGCAAAAUGCUUAUGCACAGAAUAUAAGUUCAGCAGUGGUGAUAAUGGAAGUUAAACAUUUAAAACUUACCUCUUUAAAUUGUUUCCUUUCCACCUAUGCUGUUGAUGAUUUUCAUUUAGCUACCUUUUUCAUUAUUGGAUAAUGUAUACCUAUAACUAGAAUUCUUACCAAAUCUGCCUCCUUACAAAUUCAAAGAGCAACACCGUUAAUUCUCUGCUCAGGACAAAGAACGCAGCAUGUUAUUUUUAUGUAUCAUUAGGAAAAAAAACGAUAGAGGAAAUGAACCAGGGGAACAGAAAAACAAAAUAAGAAGUGAAAUCCAAGUUUCUAAUGCAGAGAUGGAAUGCCAAUAAACUGUUCCAAAGAAACUGUUUAGCUGCAAGCUUUUCAACCUGUUGCCAAGAAAACACUGCUGUGUUCACUGAUCCUAUCAUUAAACCAGGUAUGUUCUGAAACAACUCUUUCUGAAUGGUGCCAUCUUCUGUGAAGUGGGAGGGAGCUUUGCUCCUAUAGAGCACUACUAGAAAGAUAGUUCUGCUCAAAAAAGCAGGUAUGGGGCAAGCUUGGUUAACUCAUGUACACACAUUCUUUAGAGAAAAAUAAAUUAACAGUUGAAAAGAAAAACCUUGUUGCCUACAGACUGUUGGCAGGAAGCACAGGACUAUAAUUUCCAUCUCCGAAAAUACCAAUUUCCAGGGCAAAAUGUCUUAAUGGCUGUUUUUUAAUACCCUAUAAUAUCAGGUUUGUACUCUCGCCGACUUGUUGUUUUCUUUACAAAAAUAAAAGACUAGUGUUUUGUAAUAUUUUUGUGCUAGGUUUUUAAAUAAUUAUCAUUACAGUUAUCCAUGCUACUCAAGAUAUUUGCCUGAGUAUAUAUAUCAGUAAAAGGGCAGAUCACACCAACAAACUUCUUCCACAUCACACCUUGUUCAGCUCUCCACAACAGUGCUCUCCUAUCUUCUAGUAAGGCUUUAUUUUACUUUCUUUUCUGCCAAACUUUUACAUUUCAUGUCUGUAGCAGAAAUGCUAAGUCACGGCCCAAGCCAGUGAUGGAACACCUGGUGGGAAGGCAGGGCCAGCCCAACGAGCUCAGGUGCGUGCAAUGCAAUGCACUGAGUGACCGGAAGGGUUGAGCCAGGAUCCACACUUCCCAGCCCUCUCAUUGGAGAUCCCUGCAUGCCUGAGGCCUUCCAAAGGUAAGAGGUUUUUCUUCCUUUGUUUCUGUGUCCAUUGCUGCAGCCCAGGAUUGUGCUACCCUGCUACUAUUGCUGUACUUUCUAUCAUGUUAUAGCAUUACAGUGGGUAAAAGAAGUACUGGCUUUACUUCAUCAAAUCCCAGUUUUGUGCUGUGGCUGGCUGUGCUAAAUAUGCAGUGGUCUGCUCAGCUGUGAGGUCUUACAGUCCUUAUUAUACCACAAAAGGUCUGGAUCAGUUCAUAAAACUACAGGAGAGCCCUUGUUUCCAGGAUAGUUACUAAUUUUCAGCAAAGGAAAUUUGGAAUCCCAAUAGGUGACACUGAAGUUUACAUUUUACUCUCAAUAGCUCCCUUACUUGUUUUCUAUGCAUCCUAAAUAGCUUCCUAUCAAACCAUUCAAAGUGAAGACAUCACUGUAAAGACUGAACAACUGCUGUAAACUCCGUUCAGCUCAUCCUUAGAUUCAGAGCUCACCAAAUCAAUGCUGACCAACUUCCCAAUGAUGCCUUCCCUUUUCUGUAGCGAUCUCUGUAGUAGUGCAGUCUUGUUAACACUGGGAAUUUCAGAUUCAUUGCAGUACCUCUGGGACAGAGAGGGGCUUGAGGGGAAUUAAAGCUGUUGCAUUUCUUUUGAAGUUAAGAGGAGAAACUUUUUGUACCAAAAGUAUUCUGUAACUGUCAAUAGCAUCUACAGCAAAGAGCGUGACUUUCAGCCAUCGAGUGACUCCAAGCUAGAAAGAGAGCUCAGGCUCACUCUGUUUGUAGACUAAAUUCUGAAAAGUUAUUCACUCUGAACAAAACUUUCUGAUGAGAGUAUGAGACUUUAAGAUGAUUACACCCCAAAUUUAUGUGCCAGUAUCUAAAGUUAUGGGAGACACUGUGUAGUCUGUGAAUCAGUUAAAUAGACUGCAUGAGUUAGAAGAGUGAGGAAAUGUUAUUCAACUCCUCAUAAAGAUUUUUUUUAGUCUUCUCACAUUAAAAAGUCUUGGAAUUGAAUAAUCCAGAAGAGUAUCUCUGUUCCUCUUGGAUCCUUUCCCACAUACAGCAACAGCAAAAUGUGUAGGCUUGACUGCUGAUGAGACACUCUGGAGUGAGUAUCUGAACAUACCUGGCACAGAUGCUCCACUUUGGUUUUCUUCUGUUUAGGCUUGUUUAGCUAACAAAUAUCAGAUUGGAGUCAUUCAACAGACAGAAAACUCUGCUGCUAACUUAACUACAAAACAAAUUUGGAAGCUGGGCCAAUCCACUCUUGCUUUCCUGGCUUGAUACCCAUCUGCUAUCUAUUGCUGGUGCACAAGCGACUACCAUCAGUGAAUAUGUCCAGGUGGCAAAUUAAUGAUCAUCACUGCUCUUCCUGACACCAACUGAUUAAUUCUCAUACUUCUGAGCCAAGCUUUGGUUUCUUGACAGUUUGUUUAGCAGAGAAUGAGCAGUUCUCUGUUGGUACCGAUUCAUUCCUGAUCACCUGUUAUUUCUCAAGCUGUCAGUUUGGACUCCAAAUGCAACUCUUUGGAUUUUCACUACUGAGUAGUUUCACUUGCUACAGACUAAAGAGCAAAUAAAUUAUCCAUGGUUUUGUUUCAUUCCCUAAUCAACCACCUUCUUGUAACCCAUUCUGACCUUUGUUAGUAUAAAACAUUAAUGGGAAAACUCCCAAUGAGUAAUGUUGUGAAACUGUACUUUGUGACCAGAUGGUUCCUUGAGAUGAUGCUUCUGUAAAUCUCUCUGAGGGUGAUGUCCCUUAGGUGCUCCCCAAGAUCUCCACCCAGUCCUUCCCGCCUUCUGCUUAUGUGCUUUAAGUUUUGUUUGUCUGCAAGUUUUUGCUGUAUUCUUUUUCAGGUGGAUGAGUUCUGCACUUCAGCUCCCUGCUAGCCCAUGGGCAGCUAUGCCAGCUCUGCACAGCAAAAGGAGAGGCAUGAGAGUUGAGCUGAAUAGCAAGAGUGGAAAGCAGAGACUCUUGAAGCUCAUUUGACCACCACAGUUGCUGUAUGCAUCCUCAAGACCUGAAUUCAGUAAAGUACACAAAUAUCCCACAGCAAGAGAUAGAAACCAUAUUGUGUAAAAGCAUUGUAGUGGAAAUGCUAAGUCACAGCUGGAAGCAGUGAUGGAGCACCUGGUGGGAAGGCAGGGCCAGGCCAGGGCAGCUCAGGUGCAUGCAGUGCAAUGCACUGAGCGACCAGAUGGGUUGGGCCACGAUCCCCCCUUUCCCAGCUCUCAUUUAAGGGCUGGCAGUGGAGGCAAGGGGAUCUCCCUGGAGAUCUCUGUGUACCUGAGGCCUUCCAAAGGUAAGCAGUUUUAAUUUCUUUGUUUCUGUAUCUGCUGCUGCAGCAUUUGGGCUUGUUCUCGUUUGCUGCGGCCUAGGAUUGUGCCACUCCACUAUUAUUGCUGUACUUUCCAUUGCAUUACAGUAUUACAAGCAGGUAAUUUUUCAAGAAUGUUUUUCACAGCAGAUUUUAUUUUCAGGUGUGUUGGAAACAAGGUCUGGUGUUGUGGUGCCUGUUUAAAAUUAUAUCAACUGUUCUGAAAGGCUAAAAGGAAUGGGUAAACAAACAGUAGUAAAGAUGCUUGAAAGGUCACAGGAAAACUCCAACUGUUGCUUAUUCCUAACAGCAUGCCGUUGCAUAGUCUAUCUCCAGACCACUACAACUUUCAGAUCCUUUUCUGUAUAAACCUUGGCUUUUUUCUGCAAUUCUGCAAAUUUGCAUCAAAUGGUUUAUUAUUUAUAUUUCAACAUUAAUGUUUGUUUUUUCCUUUCUAAAUCAUACCAUCUUUUUUCACACUAAUUAAUGAAUUUGUAAAGCAUAGAGAAACUCCACCUGGAAAGAUCUGUAAGAUUUUUUAUUUUUUUUUUAAUUGACACAGUAGAUGCACUUGUGAAGAAUGUGCUUCUUAACAAGGAAUUCUGAGUUUCUAGUAACAGCUGUCCUCUGAAGGUUGGGGCUGAAAAGUGAGUUUUGGAGAGCCUAUGCAAUCAACAUGGUAGAUUUCGUACAUCAAGUUUACAAUUUGGGUUCUGAUGGCUGAAAAGAAAAAAAAAUACCCAGAGAGAACCGGAGCAGGGAAAGGCUCUGCUUUCUCAGACAACACAAAAAGGAACGCAGACAAGGACCAGGCAGGCUGAAUGUGAAUUGCCUAUAUACUGAGAAUGGGAGGGUGGGAGAUGAAUACACCUGCUACACGUGCUGCAGUGGUAAACAGUCUUCAGCCUGUGCCAUGUGGUAUGCACACAGUCUUGUUAGCAGUCCUUCAAGACAGAAAUCCGUGUUGUUGACUUAUGCUACUGUGUUGGACAGAGAACUGAAACGGCCAAGACAGGUGCUUGUUCUGUUUUGCAGAUAAAUAGGAAGAAAAGUAAGGGUUGUAAUGUCCAACCAACAUGGCAAUAUUUUCCAUGUUGCCCUCAGCAGAGUAUUAAUUUAUUAUAUGACAGUGAGCAUAAAUACUAAUAUUAUGUAGUACUUAACUCCUGGAAGUCUUCUGAACCUGAAUGUUUAAUUGCCUCUUAAGCUGUUUAGACAACAGACUGAUUUGCUUCAGAGCAUGGUGAACUACAGGGCCCAAACCAGCUUGUGAAGUAGAUUAUUUUCCUGAAAAUCACAAGCGCCUGGGAAUCCACAUGCUGAAUUCAUAAAGGUGUAAAACUCUCCCUGCUGAUCUGAGAUCCAGAUAGAAAAAAAGUGUCUAAAUUAUUUUUCUAAUAUGCAAGCAGUAGAUUGCUGAAAAAGACAACAAGAGCAUUCAGUGCUUCACAAUGGCUCCAGGCUUUGGAUUACUGGGAGUAAGCAUCAGCUCCGGUUUCGCGAGCAGUAAGUCAGUAUUUCUCAGUAAGCAUUCCUGAUUAAAAACCAUGUCUUUUUUUUUACUGUAUUUUUACUUUUUUGACCUUUCCUGUCUGUGACAACAUAUUUGUACUUGGUGAGUGUUCCAAGGAUGAUGGCUUUAUUUCUUUCUCUCAAUUCUUGUGUGACUAGGAGAAAUUCUUUAGGAAUGAAUAGAAGCUUUUGGGCCUAUAAAACUUGUCCUUUUUUGGUUCUGACCUUCUCACAUGAUGUCAUGCAGUUUUCUUUUCUGAAUGAUUUCAACGUGUUUGCCUCAACAAGUCUAUUUUAUUAUUAUGCUUCUCAUCUUUCUAAAAAGAAAAUUUCUCUCAUUUUAAAGAAUACUGUUGUUUCUCCACACCCCCUCUCAUUUUGGUUCUUCGUUGUAUCUGGGAGAUGCAUUGUCAAGAAUAUAUGAGGUGAUACACAUAACCUAUUCUGUUUUUAAAAAAAAAAAAAAAAGUUCUGUGUCUCCUGCUACAAUUUCUGUAUUCAUUGCUCUGGCAAUAUGAAGCUAUGGCAGAUAAUCAGCAGACCUUGGGCACAAUUUUAGUUUUAUAGUGAAAACAACAGAUUGAAAAACUCUCUCCCUAUCCAUUACAAUAUGAUUAUUGAUUAUAGUCAUGCUUUCAUACAACUGUAUUAGUGGGAAUUUAAAAAAUUGAUUUCUCAAGAGAAAUUUCUAAAAAGCAAAGUCUCGAAACUAGGGGAAUUCUGAAAGAAAUAAAACUUCAUCUGAAAGAACUUUUUUGCUAAGAAAAGUAACAGACAAUUCCUUCUUAUCUGGCUUCAGAAAUGAAAGGGAUAAACUCCACAUUGCUGAAAUUAAAUUUUGGAUUGCUAAAAUGGAAUUUAGCAAUCUGGAGUUUGGAAUGGCAAUUUGAGUUAGCAAACCUGAAUUCAAUAAGGAGAUCAUUCAUGGCACUGACUACCUUUCCUGCCCAGUUUUCUUGGUGAAACAAAUUUGUUGAUCUAAUUGUUAGCUUUCUGGAGCUAAAAUAACUACAAAGUAUUUUCUGAAAAGCUUCAGGACAAGCACACUCCGCUUCUGUAAUGGCACUUCUUCUUUACUGGUAUUUUGUCCCACGGGAAUACAUGGAACUGAAAUAGCUGUUGUGUGCACAUCCUGCUGCUUUAGGGCUGGUGCAGCCAGAAACAAGCUCAGCAAGGUGCCCAGAAUCCCUGUCAGCCGCAGUUCUGUGCUAUGGGGCAGACGGAUCCUUUCCAAGCAAACACUGCCUGUACAGAGGAUGGUUAUUUUUGAAGAAAACAUAUCCAUAGAUGACUUAGUGACUUACUGUAGGUAACUACAGAACUCUGGAGAAGAGCCAGAUGAGGGAGAAGAUGAUUCUAGAAAUCCCUUCCUAAUAUCUGCAGUGGACUUCGUAAUGUUAAUUUAAUCAUGUGUCAUUUACAUAAGUUCAAAUCCUUACAAAUAUUCAGUUGGUAAGGCCUUGAAGAUAAUUUGGUAUAUACCUACUUUAUUGUAACUCACAGGAGGUUGUUUGAAUGUAAAGCUGUUAUGUAGAAAGUUAAUUCAGAAUUUUAGCAGUUUGGGAGAUGUGCAGAGUCCUAUUGACAGAUCAAGGUCCUUAAACCAACAUAAACAUGAGAAACUAGCAAGUUUCGUAACUCUCUUAAUAGCAGGUGGAAAGGCUCAGUAUCUGCAAAUUCUUUACGGCCAUUAACAGCUACUUAUAUCAAAGAAGGUCAACUUUUUCCACACUGUACUCCUUCCCUACCAGCCACAUCUACAGUUUGCGUCCAUAAUUAUUUAUGCUAUUUCCUAAGAACAAAACUGGAGGAAAAAACUCUACAGUUCACUGCUGAGCAUGUGAAAUUAAACUACUGCCUAUUCGUUAAAUUUUAACAUCCAGAGCUGUGAACUUCUGUGACCACAAAGCCAUCAUUCUGUGGGUUCUGUAGCCUUGUUAUGGGUCAGGAGCUGCCAGCAGAGAGGCAGGGCAGCCUAACCAGCUUGCCAGGUAAUUCAUCUAUUUGGGCUCUACAUCUGUGGUCAAACACUUCAGAAACAGCUGUAAUUGUUUUAAGAUGUUAUUUUUUUCUACUUGUUUCUUACCAAGCAAGUGAGAUAGACAGAUGUCCCAAACCAGGGGGGUUAAGUUAAAUAAAAAACAGUCAGAGAUAUAUAGCUGAAUUUCCUAUACCAGAGGGUCUAGUUUGAGAGGGACAUAAAAUAAAGUCACAUUAAGGAGACAGAGCAUAUUCCAAAGCCCUGUGGGGCCAGUUUGCAUCCAACCUGGGCAGAGUGUGGCCAGAAGAGUAAUUAAGCAAUGGAAUGCCCAAAGAUUUUGCUAGUAACAACUAGCAUUCAGAGAUCCUACUAGGAAUUAUGUCUGAAAGGGUUAAAACUUGGUUAAAUAUGUAGAUUUUUCACAGAAAUAACAAAAAGCACAUGCUCAACAGGAAGGCCAAUUUCCUGCCAACACCAAAUCUCCAUUCCAGGCCUUUAGGUUAUUCUCAGUAUUUCAAAGGAAAAAAAAUGUCAGACCUUUGUUUUUUAAGAAGAAUAUAGAACACUGGUCUCUGGCUUUAUUAAAAAUAAAAAUCAAUUUACUACAUUUGCACUGUGAAUACAAAAGGUUUCUCCUCUAAAUUCUCUCCUUUUUAACAGUUAAUGUAUUAUUAAUGUAAAUCAUUCUACAAACAAAGAAUUAGUCAAAGUUUGUUUUUUAGGUUUCAUGGUUUCUUUUUAAACAAAGGUAUCUUAAAAAUCUAAGUAUCUAACAGAAAUGGCAUUUGCAUUCAUCAGGGCCUGUGAUUAUUUGGUUUUCACGGCCUAAGAGGCUUUACUUUCCUUGCUUGUUUUGUUUAAAGGAUUGCUGCAAUACUCAGAAUUAGCCAAACUGUCCCAGGCCACCAUACCUGGAGGCUGGGUACAGCAACAUAAUUUCUAGGAAUGUUUAUUUAGAACACUUAGAUGUUUGGACCAACUGCCAACACGUUAAUCCUGCAAUCUAAAGAUUAAAAUUUAUUUCAUUCUCAGUAAUAUUCUUCAUAUGCAAGAAAUGUAUUACAUGUUAUAGGAUUACAGGUGCAUAUACUCAAGUGUACACUGAUGUAACACUAGAAGACUUUAAAUCAACUCUCAGUGAUUUUUAUUUCUAAUGCUCUUUUGUACAUCUGUUGGCAUUCUUCACUUUCUGAAACCUGGUCAAUCAUUCAACGCCUGAGAAGUUUUUAACUGUAUGAGUUUUAGCUGAUGAGUUUAUAUUCAUCAGUCUGGAAAAACGUAAGUGCAGCAAUUUCAUUUGAAAACUGCCAACACAACAGUGAAAGAGCAGUUUGUUGAUAGAGCUAAAUGAGAUUCACAUAAAUAAUGAUUUUCAUAUGUAAUAAAGCCUUAGUGUCA